GCUCCGUCUGUUCAGCUGCCCAGUCAGACAGGCUCUGGGGACAAGCUGGUGGCUGAGAGUCUGCCGUGACCAGCAGCUCGCUCUCUCUCGCUCUCACUCUCUCUCACAGACUGCUGUGCAGAAAGCCAAACCCUGUGGCAGAAAAGUCUGUAAAGGAAGGAGGGUGUGUAAAGGAAGGAGGUUGACACAGAAGCCAGCCAGGAAAAGGACCGGGGCCUGGGACAAGUUCCCACAGCUUCCAGUGCAAGCUGCACCCACGCAUCCUUCACCGAGCACUGCCAACGCAGCCUGCCCCAUGCCGUGCUGCUCUCCCCAAGACGUACGUUCCAGAAAGUGAAAACCUACGAGGCUGAGGCCACGGGAACCCUUGCUAGAGGUCAGCAGCAAGGACAAGGCACAGGAGUGAUUCUACACCCUGCCUGCCAAUGACCUGCCUCUUGGGUGAGUGUGCUGUGGCUGCUGAUCUGGCCACGCCUGGCUGGAUUCACAUCAAGGCAGCGGAUAGCCAGCCUUCCACGCAUACACGCAGGCCCAGGCCCAGGCCUGGCUAGAAGAAUGCCCCACACUGCCUCUCCCCAGGCUCAGGCAGGGACACAAGUCACAAGAUAGCAUCAGUCAGGACAAGUCCCUUGGGCAAGAGGCGGUUCAUCUGUAAGAGUCAGGAGCAGGAGCAGACAGCGCCCUUCAGCUGAAGUUGUCCAACACUGAAGGCCACAAGGAACAAGCUGUCCUCUCUCUCGGACGACUUCCUCUUGGAUGGAACAUCCCAGCCUCUCCUGUCAGGAGCACUCCCAAAUAAGGUAGCCGCUGCAGCCGGAAAACAGAAGAGUUAGAUCCACAAGGGACUUUCUGGAUUUGCUUAAUUUCCUUUAUUUUUUUUAAACAUUAUCAAAUUGUUAUUAUUAGUUCAGCAGAGGCCGUUUGAGUUUGGGUUUCCAAGUGCCGUCUGGGAAAAGUCCGGCCCACACACACGCUGCCCAGGCCCAACUGCUCAGCACUGAAAUGGGUCUGGCAGCAGCUCUCAGAUUUCUUGUUGCAGGUUUUUCUGACCUCCUACGUCAGGUAACCUGCUGAGACCAGUCCCUUCGUCUGCCCAGGGGCAGCCUGGGAAAUGCUUGGCGCGCACUCCUGGGCUCCUGUGCCAAACAGCGGAGGGAGCGCUCUGGCUCGGAACAGUUCCAGCUGUGGGCAGCACGCUUCCCGGCUGCAGAACCAGCGCCGUCGCGGACAGCCUGCAGCCCGCCCCCGUGCGGCCCUCCAGUCAGGCUUGGGAAGCAUGCCCAGAAAGCAUGUCUGUUGACAGCAAACAGAACGAGCGAGGCCCCGGAGCAGUCUGCCAGGAACAGGAACUGGCCACUAACUAACUAGAUUGCUACAUGGGAUUGUAUUUUGAAAGAAUCGGUUCAAAAACA